AUUCCUAAAAAUGCUUAAAUCACUUGAAUUUGAAUUUGGUCAUAGCUUUGGAAAUAAAGUUUUUUUUAGAUUCCAAUUGACCUAAAAUUUGGUAAGUUCAUUGGAAACAACCUAGUAAGAAAUACUCACUGCUAUGCGGUUAUGGUUCUUGAGGUCGUUAAGAUAAAUUUUAAGUUGUUCUUUUGGAUUAAAAUGUGAGUUAGUAUGAAAACAAUCCUUUAUAUCAUUUUAUUUAUGUUAAAUAUGGUACAUGAAUACACAUGAUAAUUUAACAUGAAUUGAUAUAUGAUAAGGAUAUAUGCGCUUUUCAAUAUGCAGAUGAUCCAAAGGCUGCUGCAAAUUCUCUAAAGCCCCUUCUUGAGAAAGCUGAAGCUGUUGUUUCUAAGAAUUGACAGUCUCAAACCCCUCUUAAAAUUGGGGCAACUGCAGGGCUGAGGUUGUUAAAGGGUGAUUCAUCCCAAAAGAUUCUGCAAGCAGUACAUUUUUUACCCUUUAUUUCCCUUCAUUAAUCGGAAAAUUGAUCUUAAUUAUUGUAUUAUUUGAUAAUCCUUCAUAGCACAAAUUAAUCUAACUAGUUUAAUUAUUAUUUUUUUCUUAUUAUCAUUCCUUGAUUAUGUUGGGAUAUAUAAUAUUAACCAUGGAAUAUAUACUAUUAAUCAUGAGUUUGGAUAUAGUAUUUAUCAUAGAACAAUUGUUUAUUCAAUUUUAAUAAAAGCUUUAAUAGAUCAUA